rnacentral:lncRNA from 1 species
AGGCCCUGCUGCGACGGGCAAUGGUUUCUGCAGUAAAGUUCCGGCGCAGGCGCUUACGGGGAAAGGAGAUGGCAGACAUGGGGCCCCGGAAUUGCCGCUGCAGGUUUCUGUGCAGCCGCUCAAAGUCCGAGUAUCGGCGAGAGAUCUGGGCUGGCUGGCGAUCUGGUGGCCCUGGGCCCAUCACGGCGAGGGUGUAGAGCUGUAGGAAGGGUGGAUGUCAGGGCUGAUGUAAAACCUCGGUGGGUCUCUUCCCUCCCUCCCGUCCAUACUCCGGGCUCUGCUCUUCCACCUCACCUCUUCUGAGACUGGCUAGGAGGAAGCUGCAGAGCUUACCUUACCUUACCUGAGGCUCCUCUGAAAUGACCCAGGCCCAAGGUAGCAUGGGGGAAAAAAGACAGAAAUGAGUUUCAAUGUCUGGGGCUGCCACCAUGUUACUGCUCCGGGAAAUGCCCAGCCCCUUGGGAGUUGGUUGUUGGGAAAGCCUUAGGAAAGCCAGGGGUGAACUGAAACCCAGACCCCUCUUUUGGGCGUCUGAGCCUUCUGAGAGCCAGCUAGGAACUAUGUGCCACUCUGGAUACAUUACUGGCCAAGCUCGUUCACACCAGACCAAAGGAUGGGUCUUCAGACAGCCUCAGUAGCAAAAAUGAUGGAUUGGGACUCAUGUAACCGCAAGUCAGCCUCCUUCCUGUGACCCAGGCAGAGCAGGGUCUCAGAUCUUCCUGUGCUCUGGUUAGAAGUUCCUAGGCUCAGGCCACUUUUGCUCAGGGAUGCCCGGCUUUGGUGCUCAAGGUUUCUAGGUGUCGCACGCACACUGGAGUACACUGCAUCAGAAACAGGGUGGUUCCUGAUGCUCUCGGAUUCCUUUCUGGUUUUGUCCCUUGAGACAGUCUCACCGUGUAGCCCAUGAUGGCCUCUAAUUCACAAUCUGACACAGCCUCCUGAACGGUAGGAUUAAAGGAAUGUAACUCC